rnacentral:rRNA from 1 species
GAUGAACGCUGGCGGCGUGCUUAACACAUGCAAGUCGAACGAUGAAGCCCAGCUUGCUGGGUGGAUUAGUGGCGAACGGGUGAGUAACACGUGAGUAACCUGCCCUUGACUCUGGGAUAAGCCUGGGAAACUGGGUCUAAUACUGGAUAUGACUUCUCAUCGCAUGGUGGGGGGUGGAAAGAUUUAUUGGUCUUGGAUGGACUCGCGGCCUAUCAGCUUGUUGGUGAGGUAAUGGCUCACCAAGGCGACGACGGGUAGCCGGCCUGAGAGGGUGACCGGCCACACUGGGACUGAGACACGGCCCAGACUCCUACGGGAGGCAGCAGUGGGGAAUAUUGCACAAUGGGCGCAAGCCUGAUGCAGCGACGCCGCGUGCGGGAUGACGGCCUUCGGGUUGUAAACCUCUUUCAGUAGGGAAGAAGCGAGAGUGACGGUACCUGCAGAAGAAGCGCCGGCUAACUACGUG